AAUUUGAAUAUCUUUCCUUGCAAUUAGAACAAGAUAUGAAAGAUUAGGGAAUGAAUUAGCUUUCUCCUUGCAAUUAGAACAAGAUAUGAAAGAUUAGGGAAUGAAUUUGAAUAUCUUUCCUUGCAAUUAGAACAAGAUAUGAAAGAUUAGGGAAUGAAUUAGCUUUCUCUCCUUGCAAUUAGAACAAGAUAUGAGAGAUUAGGGAAUGAAUUAGCUUUCUCUCCUUGCAAUUAGAACAAGAUAUGAAAGAUUAGGGAAUGAAUUAGCUUUCUCUCUUGCAAUUAGAACAAGAUAUGAAUGAUCAGGGAAUGAAUUAGCUUUUUCUCCUUGCAAUUAGAACAAGAUAUGAAAGAUUAGGGAAUGAAUUAGCUUUCUCUCCUUACAAUUAGAACAAGAUAUGAAAGAUUAGGGAAUGAAUUAGCUUUCUCCUUGCAAUUAGAACAAGAUAUGAAAGAUUAGGGAAUGAAUUAGCUUUCUCUCCUUGCAAUUAGAACAAGAUAUGAAAGAUCAGGGAAUGAAUUAGCUUUCUCUCCUUGCAAUUAGAACAAGAUAUGAAAGAUUAGGGAAUGAAUUAGCUUUCUCCUUGCAAUUAGAACAAGAUAUGAAAGAUCAGGGAAUGAAUUAGCUUUCUCUCCUUGCAAUUAGAACAAGAUAUGAAAGAUUAGGGAAUGAAUUAGCUUUCUCUCCUUGCAAUUAGAACAAGAUAUGAAAGAUUAGGGAAUGAAUUAGCUUUCUUACCUUGCAAUUAGAACAAGAUAUGAAAGAUUAGGGAAUGAAUUAGCUUUCUCUCCUUGCAUUUAGAACAAGAUAUGAAAGAUUAGGGAAUGAAUUUGCUUUCUUACCUUGCAAUUAGAACAAGAUAUGAAAGAUUAGGGAAUGAAUUUGAAUAUCUUUCCUUGCAACUAGAACAAGAUAUGAAAGAUUAGGGAAUGAAUUUGCUUUCUUACCUUGCAAUUAGAACAAGAUAUGAAAGAUUAGGGAAUGAAUUUGAAUAUCUUUCCUUGCAACUAGAACAGAGUAUAAAGGAUUACCGACGACUUGCAUGGCAUUCAUCACAAAUAUACAUAACUAGACUGAAUAUUUUUUUCUUUACAACUGGAACAGGAUGCGAGUAAUUAGAGAAGAUAAAUACAUAGGUCCAACAAUCUUAAUUCCACUGGUCCAAAAAUGUCAACGGUCUGUAUUUAUGAAGGCGGGAAGUUAUCAUUGGAAAACUAUAAACAUGUCAAAGUUUUGCGGUACAGAUAAUUAUAAAUAAAUAUAUAGCAACUUACUUCAAAAGGUACACAUAUACACACACACUGCUGGAAGACAAUUCUCAACAACAUGGUAACACACAUCCCAAUUCUAACAUUUUUUUUUUUUACUGAACUGGAGACCGAAAAAGGGGAAAACAAAAAGUAAAUGAAUGAAAAAUAAAAAAAGGAAUAUAAAAGUAAAGAUAAUAAUAAACAUAAAAUAAAGAAAGAAAAAAAUUCCCACAACCAUAUACAGAAGACAGAAAAGAUACCAAAACAGACUUACAGUAAAAUGACAAAGUUCAUCUACUGGAGAAUGAUGAAAAUGCUAAAAUAGAUAAUAUAAAAAGAAAAAGAACUUCCUACAACACACAACCCCAUACAAAGAAGGCAUAAAAAGAUCCCAAAACAUACUUACAAUGACCAACUUUAGCUGUCACAGAAUGUUGAAAGGAAGGACGAUGGACAACCACUCAUCCUGUCCCCAAAUCAAAGUUAGUUUGAGCCUCUAAUACAUCCUUUAUUCCUCCGUUAAAAGCAAGAUGCUAGAAGGAAGGGAAUGGAAGGAAGCUGAAAGGAAGAGAUAGAAUGUAAGAAUGAGAUGAAAGAAAGAUGGAAGGAUUUGGGGGGAAGGAAGAAGGGGAACUGAAAGAGAAAAAAUAUACAAUGAUCAAAUUUAGCUAUCGGAGAAUGCCAAGUGGAAGGAAGAUGGACAACCACUCAUUCUGUCCCCAAAUCAAAGUUGGCAUGAGCUUCUAAUACAUCCUUUAUUCCUCUGUUACAAGUGACUGAUGCGAGACAUUACAAAGGUGGGUGGGAGUGUUAGUAAAGAAAGAACCAAGAUACUGGAAGGAGAGGAAUGGAAGAAAGCUGAAAGGAGGAGAUAGAAUGUAAGAAAGAGAUGAAAGAAAGAUGGAAGGAAGAAGGGGAGCUGAGAGAAAAAAAUAUACAAUGAUCAAAUUUAGCUACUAGAGAAUGCUAAAUGGAAGGAGGGAUGAGGAUAACCACCCAUCCCAUUCUGCACCAAAAUCAAAGUUAGCAUGAGCCUCUAAUACAUUCUUUAUUCCUCUGUUUACAUGUGGUUAUUGAUGACAUUUCAGGUGCGGUGGCUACACAACACUACAAGGGUGGGUGGGAGUGUUAGUAACCCCAGUCCAUGGGUGAUGAGGAACAAGAAGGUUACAAUAAUGUCCCCAGUUAGAGGUGACAAUAAAAUGAAAGAAAUUGGAGGAAAUUAUACACGAAAUCUGUCGGGUGCUGAAUCGAAAAACCUGAUCAUCAUGGAGACUAAUUUGGUUUGAGUGCUUAUAAGGACAUAUUCUUAUUUGCAGUAAAGGAAACAGCUAAAGGGCAAAAAAAUAACUUAGACAAAAGAGUCCACUAAUCACUGCCCUUAUUAAAAAGAGUACAGAUUUGCAGUAAUGGAAGCAGCUUAAGGGUAACAAAAAGAGAAAGCUGAUAUGCUCCCUUGUGGAUGAGAGGAUCAACCCCCCUCACUCUAAACCUGACUUAGUGGCGAGCUUUUUCCUCCAGGGACUGACAGGCUGAUUGGUGGAUAUAUUGGUUAUAUACGCUGUUGGAGUCAACAGAGUGACGAAAACUUUUUUAUUAACUUUUUUAUCCAUACUCUUUUUAGCUUAGGACUCCAUGAUUAUCUUUUUACAUUAAGAAAUAAGACUUUACUCUGUUGGAAUUAUAUGACUAACACUUUUUUUUCAUGUACAAACUCUUUUCAGCUUAUGCUAAUCUUUUCACUUUAACAAACAACACUUUACUCUGUUGGAAUUACAUAAACAACUUUUUCUUAUACAGUGGUAUCUCGUGAUUCGAACGCCUUUCAAUUCGAACACAUUUCUCAAACAAAUUUUGUCCUCCAAUUCGAACACAAACAAACGGCUGCAGACAAAGCCACCAGCGUAGCCAGGUUGGUGAAUGUGAUACCGCGGACUCCAGCCUCAAAAAACACCAACCCGAGACUGCCAUUUUUUCCUGCGCACUCCUGGCCGUCCAGGAGGACAGCCUUUCAAUAUUUUACUCCAGGAAAUCUGUGCGUAGCGCCGGUGAAUCAGUUGGAUAUUUUCCAUGAUCUUACAUCUGUGUCCUUCCCUUCCCUCUCCUCCAUUUCCCCACACAAAAUGCAUUUACAUGUGUUGGCAAUAUUUAGUUGACAACCAAAUAUAUAUCUGGUUGACAAUAUUUGAGUGAUCUGGCUACAGGGCACAACAUAAACCCAUAAAAAUGUUUAAAAAAUAUAAGGAUUUUUGGGCCUGGAACGGAUUAAUUUUUUCUACAUUCAUUUCAAUGGGAUAAAUUGCUUCCUAACUCGAACAGCCCAAAUUAACCAAUUAAGUUCGAAUUACGAGGUACCACUGUACAAACUUUUUUUCAGCUUAAAGAUUAUACCAAACCAUUUACUUCAACAAACAAGACUUCACUCUCUUGGAAUUUCAUGAACACAUUUUUUCCUAUACAAACUAAUUUUUUCACCAUUUAGACUAUGCUAAUCAUUUUAUUUCAACAAGACUUUAAUACUUCCUUAACUUUACUUAACAAAACAAACAAGACAUAUUUACUGGUUCUGAAUGCAUAACACCUUGAAGUCUGUCUCUGUGUGUGUGUUGUGGUACGAAAAACCUCGUCUCAAGGGCUGUUCUAUGCAUGACUUGGGUAGAAUAUACAUUAAUAAACCCACACAAUACAUGGUAAUAAUGAGAAUAAUAGUAAUAAUAAAGUAAUAAUAAUGGAGAGCAUCUUAUGUAAGGCUCUAACUUAAGCUAUAUUUGCACACAGCACACGAAAUGGUUAUGGAAAUGAUAGUAAUAAAAAUAGGAAUAAUAAUAAUAAUGACAAGAAUAAUAAUUUGUCACCUUAUUUUUAACACCAUGCAGGGCUAAAGAUUACAGAAAGAGGAAACUACUGCUAAAUCCGCACACACACACACACACACACACACAUACAUAC